rnacentral:rRNA from 1 species
UUGAACGCUGGCGGCAUGCUUUACACAUGCAAGUCGAACGGUAACAGGCCUUCGGGUGCUGACGAGUGGCGAACGGGUGAGUAAUGCAUCGGAACGUACCCAGAGGUGGGGGAUAACGCAGCGAAAGCUGUGCUAAUACCGCAUGUGAUCUGAGGAUGAAAGCGGGGGACCGAGCAGCAAUGUUUGGCCUCGCGCCUUUGGAGCGGCCGAUGUCGGAUUAGCUAGUUGGUGGGGCAAAGGCCUACCAAGGCGACGAUCCGUAGCUGGUCUGAGAGGACGACCAGCCACACUGGGACUGAGACACGGCCCAGACUCCUACGGGAGGCAGCAGUGGGGAAUUUUGGACAAUGGGCGCAAGCCUGAUCCAGCAAUGCCGCGUGCGGGAAGAAGGCCUUCGGGUUGUAAACCGCUUUUGGCAGGAACGAAACGGUGUCCGCUAAUACCGGGCGCUAAUGACGGUACCUGCAGAAUAAGCACCGGCUAACUACGUG